rnacentral:rRNA from 1 species
AUUGAACGCUGGCGGAAUGCUUUACACAUGCAAGUCGAACGAUGAAGCCUAGCUUGCUAGGUCGAUUAGUGGCGAACGGGUGAGUAAUAUAUCGGAACGUAUCCAAUAAUGGGGGAUAACUAGUCGAAAGAUUGGCUAAUACCGCAUACGUCCUACGGGAGAAAGCUGGGGAUCGUAAGACCUGGCGUUGAUGGAGCGGCCGAUAUCUGAUUAGCUAGUUGGUGAGGUAAAGGCUCACCAAGGGGACGAUCAGUAGCUGGUCUGAGAGGACGACCAGGCGCGCUGGAACUGAGACAGAGACCAGCCUCCUACGGGAGGCAGCAGUGGGGAAUUUUGGACAAUGGGAGAAAGCCUGAUCCAGCCAUUCCGCGUGAGUGACGAAGGCCUUCGGGUUGUAAAGCUCUUUCGCAAGGGAAGAACACUUACUUAAUCACACUAAGUGAGGUUGACGGUACCUUGAUAAGAAGCACCGGCUAACUACGUGCCAGCCGCCGCCGUAACAC